GAAGAAGCACUGGCUAACUCUGUGCCAGCAGCCGCGGUAAUACAGAGAGUGCAAGCGUUAAUCGGAAUCACUGGGCGUAAAGCGCGCGUAGGUGGAUAUUUAAGUCGGAUGUGAAAGCCCUAGGCUUAACCUAGGAACUGCAUUCGAUACUGGAUAUCUCGAGUAUGGUAGAGGGAAGUGGAAUUUCCGGUGUAGCGGUGAAAUGCGUAGAUAUCGGAAAGAACACCAGUGGCGAAGGCGGCUUCCUGGACCAAUACUGACACUGAGGCGCGAAAGCGUGGGGAGCAAACAGGAUUAGAGACCCUGGUAGUCCACGCCGUCAACGAUGAGAACUAGCUGUUGGAGAGUUUGCUUUCUAGUAGCGAAGCUAACGCGUUAAGUUCUCCGCCUGGGGAGUACGGCCGCAAGGUUAAAACUCAAAGAAAUUGACGGGGGCCCGCACAAGCGGUGGAGCAUGUGGUUUAAUUCGAUGCA
rnacentral:rRNA from 1 species